rnacentral:rRNA from 1 species
AUACGUAGGUGGCAAGCGUUGUCCGGAAUUAUUGGGCGUAAAGAGCAUGUAGGCGGAGAUUUAAGUCUGUUGUGAAAAUGCGGGGCUCAACCCCGUAUUGCGAUGGAAACUGAAUUCCUUGAAUGCAGGAGAGGAAAGGGGAAUUCCCAGUGUAGCGGUGAAAUGCGUAGAUAUUGGGAGGAACACCAGUGGCGAAGGCGCCUUUCUGGACUGUGUCUGACGCUGAGAUGCGAAAGCCAGGGUAGCGAACGGGAUUAGAUACCCCGGUAGUCCUGGCCGUAAACGAUGGGUACUAGGUGUAGGGGGUAUCGACCCCCCCUGUGCCGGAGUUAACGCAAUAAGUACCCCGCCUGGGGAGUACGGCCGCAAGGUUGAA